GACGAACGCUGGCGGCGUGCUUAACACAUGCAAGUCGAACGGAAAGGCCCUGCUUUUGUGGGGUGCUCGAGUGGCGAACGGGUCAGUAACACGUGAGUAACCUGCCCUUGACUUUGGGAUAACUUCAGGAAACUGGGGCUAAUACCGGAUAGGAGCUCCUGCUGCAUGGUGGGGGUUGGAAAGUUUCGGCGGUUGGGGAUGGACUCGCGGCUUAUCAGCUUGUUGGUGGGGUAGUGGCUUACCAAGACUUUGACGGGUAGCCGGCCUGAGAGGGUGACCGGCCACAUUGGGACUGAGAUACGGCCCAGACUCCUACGGGAGGCAGCAGUGGGGAAUAUUGCACAAUGGGCGGAAGCCUGAUGCAGCAACGCCGCGUGCGGGAUGACGGCCUUCGGGUUGUAAACCGCUUUCGCCUGUGACGAAGCGUGAGUGACGGUAAUGGGUAAAGAAGCACCGGCUAACUACGUG
rnacentral:rRNA from 1 species